UGCGUAGGUGGUGAUGCAAGUCUGGUGUGAAAUCUCGGAGCUUAACUCCGAAAUGCACCGGAUACUGCGUAACUCGAGGACUGUAGAGGAGAUCGGAAUUCACGGUGUAGCAGUGAAAUGCGUAGAUAUCGUGAGGAAGACCAGUUGCGAAGGCGGAUCUCUGGGCAGUUCCUGACACUGAGGCACGAAGGCCAGGGGAGCAAACG
rnacentral:rRNA from 1 species